UACGAAGGGGGCUAGCGUUGCUCGGAAUCACUGGGCGUAAAGGGUGCGUAGGCGGGUCUUUAAGUCAGGGGUGAAAUCCUGGAGCUCAACUCCAGAACUGCCUUUGAUACUGAAGAUCUUGAGUUCGGGAGAGGUGAGUGGAACUGCGAAGUGUAGAGGUGAAAUUCGUAGAUAUUCGCAAGAACACCAGUGGCGAAGGCGGCUCACUGGACUGGUAUUGACGCUGAGGUGCGAAAAGCGUGGGGGAGCAAACAGGG
rnacentral:rRNA from 1 species